rnacentral:lncRNA from 1 species
UUUUUUUUUUUUUUUUUUUUUUUGUCUUUUUGUCUUUUGGGGCUGCACCUGCGGCAUAUGGAGGUUACCAGGCUAGAGGUCUAAUCGAAGCUACAGCUGCUGGCCUACUGCCACAGCAACACCAGAUCCGGGCCGCGUCUGCAACCUACACCACAGCUCAUGGCAAUGCCAGAUCCUUAACCCACUGAGCGAAGCCAGGAUCGAACCCGCAACCUCAUAGUUCCUAGUAGGAUUCAUUUCCACUGUGCCACAACAGGAACUCCCCUUUUGGGUUUUUUUUUUUUUUGUCUUUUGUUGUUGUUGUUGUUGCUAUUUCUUGGGCCGCUCCCGCGGCAUAUGGAGACAAAAAAAAAAAAAAUUGACAUAAAAAUAGGAAUAAUUUUUAAAAUAACUAUUGUUAAAAUUCUCUCUCUCUCCCUCUGUGUCUUUCACACACACACACACACACACACACAAAACAGCUAAGUGGUAUGAACUCAGUAGGAAUAAAAUAUGGAAGGGUUUUACAUUUUGUCUCGUCAUUGCCUUUAACUAAACUAGGUUGCAGCUUUAUUUUCUAUCUCACACUGAUAUAUAGAAGACACAAAGCUUUUCUGUUUUAAUCUCGCAGCCAGUGUGGACUUCAAAACUGCCUGUCCCCAGGUUCAGCCAGGUAAACACAACUUGGAGUUGAUUGGAGAGUGUGUUCUCAGCUUUACUACAUCAUCAUUUUCUACUCUUCCCCAACUAUGAUCAUUGCUAAGGUAUUUUCACGAUGUUUUUGUUCUUUUUGCUUUCUCUCUCUCCAUAUGAAAAAAUUUUAUUACUUUAUAUUUUUCUUAUGCCUUUAAAAAAAUUCUUUGAGCAUAAUUUUAAUGUCUACACUAAUACAUCUGCUAUAUGAUUAUUCCAUAACUCUCCAUUAUUAUUGUAUUCAUUUUGUCAUCAUAAAUCUGACUUCUAUAUAUCAGAUUUUUUUAAUCAGUUACAAUGUGCAUUGAAACCAUAUAGCAUUCUUCUGUGAAUUACCUCUUCCCUAUAGAAUUUCAAAAGCUUUAGCUGAAUGUUAUAUUAUAAAUAAUUUAGUAUCAGAAAGGGAAAGUUUAAAAAAUCCUUUCUAUAAUCACAUCAAAAAAUAAAAUACAUAGGAAUAAACCUGACCAAGGAGGUUAAAGAUUUAUAUGUUGAGAACUAUAAAAACAUUGAUAAAGGAAACUGAAGACGAUUCAAACAAAUAGAAAUAUAUCCAGUGCUCUUGAAUUGGAAGAAUUAACACUGCUAAAAUGGCCAUAUUACCCAAAGCAAUUACAGAUUUCACGCAAUACCUAUCAAAAUACCCAUGACAUUUGCCACAAAACUAGAACAAAUCAUCCUAAAAUUUAUAUGAGACCACAAAGGACCCUGAAUUGCCAAGGCAUUCCUGAGAAAAAAGAACAAAGCUGGAGGCACAAGCCUUCUAAAUUUCAAACAAUAAUACAAACCUAUAGUAAUCAAAACAGUGUGGUACUCGCACAAAAGCAAAUAUAUGGGAAAAUAGAACAGAACAGAGAGCCUGAAAAUAAACCCAUACACCUAUGGUAAAUUAAUCUUUGACAAAAGAGGUAAGAAUAUACAAUGGAGAAACGAUAAUCUCUUCAGCAAGUUGUGUUAGGAAAGCUGGACAGCCAUAUCUAAAUCAACGAAGUUAGAACACAUCCUCACACCAUACACAAAAAUAAACUCAAAAUAGCUUAAAGACUUAAGCAUAAGGCAUUACUCCAAAAACUCCUAGAAGAGGACAUAGGUAAAACAUUCUCUGACACAAAUUAUAUUGUUUUCCUAGGUCAGUUUCCCAAGGCAAAAUAAAUGCAAGCAAAAAAAAAAAAAAAAAAAGAUGAGUCUUCAUCAAAAUUAUAAGCUUUUCACAGCAAAGGAAACCAUAAACAAAUGAAAAGACAGCCUAUGGAAUGGGAGAAGAUAUUUGCAAAUGAUGUGUCCCACAAGUGAUUCAUUUCCAAAAUAUACAAAUAGGUCAUAGAAUUAAAUAACAAAAAACCCCAAACAAUCCAAUCAAAAACUGGGCAGAAGAUUUAAAUAGACAUUUCUCCAAAGAAGACUACUGAGAUGGCCAACAGGCACAUGAAAAAUGUUCAACAUCGCUAAUUAUCAGAGAAAUGCAAAUUAAAACUAUAAUGACUUACCACCUCACACUGUUCAGAAUGGCCAUCAUCAAAAAGUCUACAAAUAUUAAAUGCUGGAGAGACAUUGGAGAAAAGGAAACCCUCCAAUUUUGUUGAUGGAAAUGUAAAUUGGGGCAGCCACUAUGGAGAACAGUAUGUAAGUUUCUUAAAAAACUAAAAAUAGAGUUGCCAUGUGAUUGAGCAGUCCCACUCCUGGACCUAUAACUGGAGAAAACUCUAAUUUGAAAAUAUUAACACACCCCCAUGUUCAGAGCAUUACUAUUUACAAUAGCCAAGACAUGGAAACAACCUAAAUGUCCAUCGACAGAGGAAUGGAUAAAGAAGAUGUGUAUAUAAAAAUGGAAUAUUACUCAACCAUAAAAAUAAUAAAAUAAUGUUGUCUGCAGCAGCAUAGACGGACUAGAGAUUAUCAUACUAAGUGAAGUGAGUCACAGAGAAACACAAAUAUCAUAUGAUAUCAGUUUUAUAUAGAAUCUAAGAAAUUACACAAAUGAACUUACGAAAGAGACAGACAUAGCAAACAAACAGGGUCAUCAAAGAGGAAGGUAGGGAGGAAUAAAUUAAGAGUUUGUAAUUAGCAGAUAUAAAGUACUAUAGAUAAAAUAGAUAACAAGGUCCUACUGUAUAGCUCAGGGAAUUAUAUUCAAUAUUUUGUAAUAACCUAUAAUGGGAAAAAAUCUGAAAAAGAAUAUAUGUAUAUACAUGUGUUAUAUAGCUGAAUCACUUUGCUGUAUACCAGAAACUAACAUAACUUUGUAAAUCACCUAUAUUUCAGUAAGAAAAGAAUUUAUCUGAUCUUUGUCCUGGGUUCCUGGGAGGGAGCCUAUAAAUCCUUGGAAUUUCCUUAGUGGUAGGAAUGUCUUUGUUACUCAUGGUGACCCCCUGGGAGACACUGAAUUUAUGCUAAAAAAGUGACCCAUGCUGGCCUCGAGAUAGUUUCUGGUCCUGCCAGAAAUACCAACUAUGUUACCAGAGGGCUGCAGAAAGGAAAGUGGGGCUGGAGAUCCAGUUCCCCCACAUGUCCAAUGAUUCAAUAAAUCAUGCUUAUGUAAUGAAACCCCAAUAAAACUCUGGACACAGAAGCUUAGCGCAGUUUCUUUGUUGGUGAUACACAUGGAUAUAGAGAUAUGCUUCUAUAGUGUUCAAGAAAUAGAUACAUCAAGAGUGAUGUGCAAUGUGUCCACUCCACUAGAUAUAUUCAUUAUGAAGAUCUUUGCCCAGCCGUGGUAAAAAAAAAAAAAAAAAAAAAAAAAAAA